UGUUAGACAGUUACUUCUGCUAAUGUGUUCUUUUUAAAAUCAUGCUUAGGAAUUCCAUAUUUAAAUCAGGAAGAAGAAAGACAGUUAAGAGAGCAGUAUGAUGAAAAACGUUCACAGGCGAAUGGUGCAGGAGCCCUGUCCUACGUAUCUCCUAACACUUCAAAAUGUCCCGUCACGAUUCCUGAGGAUCAAAAGAAAUUUAUUGACCAAGUGGUAGAGAAAAUAGAAGAUUUAUUACAAAGUGAAGAAAACAAGAACUUGGAUUUAGAGCCAUGUACCGGGUUCCAAAGAAAACUAAUUUAUCAGACUUUGAGCUGGAAGUAAGUAUUUAUAUUGUAUACAGGAGCUCUGUGGGGGACCCAGGAUUUAAAGACUAAAUAUAAUCUCUUAGCUCUCAUUUCCUUUUUGAAAUUCUGCGGUUCUCAGUGAUUUGACCCCACCAAGUUCCCCUGCUUUCCUAAGUUGAAUACUCACUUAAUUUUCUUUUG